rnacentral:lncRNA from 1 species
GGCGCGGGCAUGUAUAUCCUUACCUUAAUCAAGGGCAUAUAAACAAAGACAGACAAGAACAAGUGCAUGCGGUUAAAUCAAAGAGUCAUUUGUCCAAUAUCUUAUACCAAAGCAACUUUGUAUUAAACUAAAAUUAUCAAUAAGUAGAGUAGUACUUCAUGGGUUAAGUAAAAUAAUAUAGCUUCAACAGAAUAUACAUGAUUGCAAUUAGCGAGUGGUUUAGUAUUUAAUUGAUCAACAAAGUAACACCAUUGCAAUCAUAGGACGAAAUUUCCUGAUAUAGUAAAAACUAUACGGGAAUAUUUCUUUUUGACAGGUCAGACUACUGACGGCUGAAGAUGCUGGGAUUCGAGGAUGCUGCAUCAUCUCCACAUCACCAUUUCCAAUUAAUUAAGCUCGAUUAAUUUAUGUUUAACAAGCUCAAAUGGGGCUAAAUCCUCCCUUUUUAUUGAGAUUAAUAAUUAAGCUUGGCUUAUUCAAUGUAGAAAAAGAAAGAGGCGCCACUAUCUGAUACAUAAUCAUAAUUUUAAUAAGCCACCCUCGCCUCCAUUUGUG